rnacentral:lncRNA from 1 species
GCCCUAUAUGUGUCCCUAUGUGCCAUAAUAGGGUUAAUAAUUUAAUAUUAAUUUAAUAUUCCAAGAGUUAAUUUAAUAUUCAUGUUUUGGUAAGUAUUUUUACUGCUGCAACCAAAUUAUUUUAACACAGAAAUAAAUGUCUACUCAAUUUAUACAAGGGGUAGUCUAAAUAUUCAUGAAUAAUGGAUCAAGACAGUAUUAAAAUGAUAAAAAAAAACAGGAAUUCCUUUUCAUUACUGACACUUGCAAGUUGGUCCUACCUUUUUCAUUUAAACAUAAAAGAGAUCAUAAUGAAAGUAUUCUGAAUGUAAAAUCUUCAUUAUUUUAA